UGAGUCCUCAAAGGAGAAGACUGGCGAGCAGACGAGCCUGGCCACCCAGUGGCUCCACCGCCCUGAUGGAUCCACUGAAUCUGUCCUGGUAUGAUGAUGAUCUGGAGAGGCAGAACUGGAGCCGGCCCUUCAACGGGUCAGACGGGAAGGCGGACAGACCCCACUACAACUACUAUGCCACACUGCUCACCCUGCUCAUCGCUGUCAUUGUCUUCGGCAACGUGCUGGUGUGCAUGGCUGUGUCCCGCGAGAAGGCGCUGCAGACCACCACCAACUACCUGAUCGUCAGCCUCGCAGUGGCCGACCUCCUCGUCGCCACACUGGUCAUGCCCUGGGUUGUCUACCUGGAGGUGGUAGGUGAGUGGAAAUUCAGCAGGAUUCACUGUGACAUCUUCGUCACUCUGGACGUCAUGAUGUGCACGGCGAGCAUCCUGAACUUGUGUGCCAUCAGCAUCGACAGGUACACAGCUGUGGCCAUGCCCAUGCUGUACAAUACGCGCUACAGCUCCAAGCGCCGGGUCACCGUCAUGAUCUCCAUCGUCUGGGUCCUGUCCUUCACCAUCUCCUGCCCACUCCUCUUCGGACUCAAUAACGCAGACCAGAACGAGUGCAUCAUUGCCAACCCGGCCUUCGUGGUCUACUCCUCCAUCGUCUCCUUCUACGUGCCCUUCAUUGUCACCCUGCUGGUCUACAUCAAGAUCUACAUUGUCCUCCGCAGACGCCGCAAGCGAGUCAACACCAAACGCAGCAGCCGAGCUUUCAGGGCCCACCUGAGGGCUCCACUAAAGGGCAACUGUACUCACCCCGAGGACAUGAAACUCUGCACCGUUAUCAUGAAGUCUAAUGGGAGUUUCCCAGUGAACAGGCGGAGAGUGGUAAGUGCUCAGGCCAGGGACCCAGAGCCAGGUCUUUCUGCCCCUAGGGAAGCCCACUGGCCAUGGUUCUGAGACCUCAGAAGCUGGCCAAUGGGAGAAGCACCCCAGAAACCCCCACCUUGCCUCAGCUGAAGGCAGACUCACUGUGCACACCUCCAAGCAGGCAUGAAGUGAGACACCUCGGUUCUGCAAGGCAUGGAUGUGUACGAGAAAAUGGUUGGCCAUACCAACGUAAUAAAAAUGAUAAUAAUGGCUAUUCACAUUUCUCAAACAUCUACCAUAUCCCUAUUAUCUCAUCAAAUCCUCACCACGACCCCGGGAGGUAAGUCUCUUUGAUCGAACCGAUCUUCAGUUGACAGAAGCGGAAACAGGCUCAGAGAGAUUAGGCAACUCACGCGUCUCAAGAGUUGGUGACACUAAGCCCAGACCUGUGUGACUCUGAAAUCCACACCUGUGUUCUUUCCACUGACAUGAGCUGCCUUAUGGAUGGGCAGGUUCUGGGGUAGGAUGG
rnacentral:sRNA from 1 species